AGUGAACGCUGGCGGUAGGCCUAGCACAUGCAAGUCGAACGGCAGCACAGUAAGAGCUUGCUCUUACGGGUGGCGAGUGGCGGACGGGUGAGGAAUACAUCGGAAUCUACUUUUUCGUGGGGGAUAACGUAGGGAAACUUACGCUAAUACCGCAUACGACCUACGGGUGAAAGCAGUGGAUCUUCGCACCUUGCGCGACUGAAUGAGCCGAUGUCGGAUUAGCUAGUUGGCGUGGUAAAGGCCCACCAAGGCGACGAUACGUAGCUGGUCUGAGAGGAUGAUCAGCCACACUGGAACUGAGACACGGUCCAGACUCCUACGGGAGGCAGCAGUGGGGAAUAUUGGGCAAUGGGCGCAAGCCUGAUCCAGCCAUGCCGCGUGGGUGAAGAAGGCCUUCGGGUUGUAAAGCCCUUUUGUUGGGAAAGAAAAGCAGCAGGUUAAUACCCCGCUGUUCUGACGGUACCCAAAGAAUAAGCACCGGCUAACUUCGUG
rnacentral:rRNA from 1 species